UUGGGGAGAUUAAUCGGAGAGGUUGCUGGGGCGCGUGGACGUAACGCUCACGUUGGAGUGCGUGGGACGGCUGACGGUUUUAGUGUAAAGUAGAAGAAGACGGAACGGGAAGUAUGGGCCGGUGAGCCGUUGCACGUUAGGGAUGAAAAAGGAAAUGCCGUGUCCGGUCCGGCCCUUUCUAGCAAUUUUUUUAGAAUUAAGUGGCCCCCUGUACUUUCUAUUUCUUCGAUUUAGCCUCCAAAGCCAAAAGAAAAAAAAAAUUCACAUUAAUGUCAUAUUAAUUUAGAAAGGAUCACACUUGUAUGAGACCGUCUCAUGGAACCUUAUUCGUAAGACGGGUCGGGUUGGAUCGAAUCAACAUGUAAAUGUCAUACUUUUAUGCUGAAAUGUAAUGCUAAUCACGAAUAAUUUUUUUUUUACUUAUAAGGAAAAAUGUAAUACUUUUG